UCCAAGGUUUAGAAGCAACAGCAUGGUACAAAUACUGUAAGAGUAGAAAGAGGAGCUGAAAAUCGAACUCUGUCAGGAUGAGAAGAUCAAGAACUGCAAUAUUUAUCUUCCUGCUUUCAUUUAUCUGCAGAACAACAGGAGAGACAUGUGAAGAGAAUUGUGGGAAGAAAAUGGUCUCCUGCUCCUGCCACCCGACAUGUGGGUCUCUUGGGUCCUGCUGCUCUGACUACAAAGAGUUCUGUGUAAAUACUUCUCCGUGCUCCGGGACCAUAAUGGGUGGGACAGACUUCGUUGUCCUUGAUGCAACUUUCAACAAGAGCUCCCACAUUGUUUGUAGGUUUGAUAGUAAAACUAACACAGUAGGGUACGUGGAUGAAGAUGGAAGGGGCCAUUGCAUUUCCCCACUGUUAUACCAAACUGGAUGGGUUUCCUUGCAUAUCUCCUCAGAUAAUGGUACCACCUUCAACAGGGCAGGAUCUUGGCUUUCAGUUCACACUGGCAAGUUGGAUUCUCGAUUUAAAGCUAUUUUGGUGAAUUCAACAAAGUGGCAGUACUAUGGAACCCCUAACGUUGGAGGGGAUUUAAAGAUGACGUGGAAUACAACUUUAGUUAAUGCAGAAAAAGUUAACCUAGAGCUCUGGGGAUACAGAGAGACAGGAGAGCCAUACUCUGAGUACUGGCAGGGUGAGUGGCACUUUCUUUAUUCCCUUGCCAAAGAUCACCCCAACAGUGGCUCCUUUAGCUUUUUGCCCAAAAUAGCCCCGGAUGGCUUCUCAAAUUGGGAGCUGGGUGCUGUUCGUGUCAGCUCAAGCAGCUACCCUGAUGGCAGUUGGAAUGUCCAAGCUGCAUGGAGUGAGGAUCAUGCUCUGGCCUGGCAUCUAGAGGAAAGUUUCAGACAAAACUCAUCAGGGUGGGCUCUGGAUAAGUGUUUAGCCUGGGAUCAACUGGAAAGUGAGCUGCCAAACUUCCUCACUGAGGUCAUCGACUGCCCAUGCACUCUGGCUCAAGCAAGAGCAGACACAGGGAGGUUUCAUACUGAUUACGGCUGUGAUAUAGAGAAAGGGAGUGUGUGCACAUAUCAUCCUGGGAGUGUUCACUGUGUAAGAGCGAUAAAAGCCAGUCCUAAAUAUGCUGCAGGACAGCAGUGUUGCUAUGACAGCACAGGCGCUCAGGUGCUCACAGCAGACUCGAUAGGGGGUAGUACUCCAGACCGGGCUCAUGACUGGGGGUCACCUCCAUUUAAAAAACCUCCUCGGAUCCCCGGCCAAUCCCACUGGGUUUAUGACGUUCUCAGCUUCUAUUACUGCUGCCUUUGGUCUGACAACUGCCACUACUACUUUAAACACCGGCCCUCCAGUGACUGCAGGCGCUACCAGUCGCCAAGCUCAGCUAUAGUGUUUGGAGAUCCACACUUUAUAACCUUUGAUGGUGUCAGCUACUCGUUCAAUGGCAAAGGGGAAUACACUUUGGUCACAUCAGAGGAGAAACAGCUGACAGUCCAAGGCAGAACCGAGCCUGUGAAGGAUUCAGGAGCGACGAUCAAGGCAACAAGGCUGACGUCUGUAGCUAUGAGAGAAGGGUCAUCAGACAUCAUUGAGGUGCGGCUUGAUAUCAGAAAGGAUGGCCUUGAAGUGCUGCGUAAUCAGCAAAUCCUCUCCUUCGCGGAGCAGACCUGGAUGGAUUUACAAGGAGUGUUCGUGUUUUCUCCCACCUCUAUAAAUGUCACUGUAAUGUUUCCAUCUGGAGCUGGGGUGGAAGUGCGACAUAGGGGAGAAACUAUGACCACCACCGUGCUCCUGCCAGAGGAAUUUAAAGGCUCCACUCUUGGAUUGUUGGGAAAGAUGAAUGGUGACCCUAAUGAUGACCUAGCCCUACCCAACGGAAAGCUAUUUCAGAAUCACAGUGAUGCAGAAGAGCUGUUCAACUUUGGGGCGAGCUGGGCGAUACAGAACAACUCUGCUUUGUUUACAUAUGAUUCAGAAUAUCUUCUGAACACCUACUACUUUGCUCCAAGACAUGAUCCAAGUUUUCUUCCAGUAUUUACUGUUCCUGAAAAUCUGGAUGAUCCACUGAACAAUCAGGCAGCUGAAAUAUGCUCCGGAGAGGGAUCUCAGUUCUGUAGGUAUGACAUCCUCGUAGGACGUAGCCCCGUGAUUGGAAAUGCUACCAGAGUUUCCUUCCAGAGUCACGUUUCUCUGGUGGAGGAUCUGAAGCCUGUGAUAUCUUGUGGAUGGAUCCCACCACCUGAUAAUGGGGAAAAGAUGGGUACCACCUAUACACAGGGAGCUAAGGUGCAGUUUUCUUGUGAUAAAGGCUACAAGCUUAGAGGAUCAGAAGAACGUACAUGCCAGAGCAAUGGCAAAUGGUCCGGAGAAGAUCCAAGCUGCGUGGUUCCCAGUAACAUUGCUGGAAUAGUGGCCGGUUCAGUCAUUGGAGCCCUGACAUUAGUUGUAAUCCUUACGCUGAUUAUUCUUCAGUUAAGAAAACACAAAAGAAAACAAGAAGAUUCAGAGGAAGAUAGAAGAAGCAAUGACUCCUAACUUAAAUCCUGGAUGACAUGAAUUUUUAUUAUGAUUGAAAAUGUGAUGGUCAUAAAAGAUAAACACAUUUGUUUUAUCAGAUAAAGGCAUUUGUGGUAAGAAGCUAUAAAAGGUAUUUUUUUUUAAAACACCUGCAAAAGAAUGAUAACAGCUAAUGUUGUCUUGCACUAAGGUCUGUAUUUUUGUAUCAUAGAUGUUUUUCUCUACGUAUAAAUAGCUUUGUUUAAAAAGAAAAAAUAAAUUUAUUGAUCAUAAAGCUACUUUAGUAAAGCUUUUCAGUGUUGAACUCAGAGUUAAUACAGCUGCUCAUUUAGAUGAUUAGCACAAUGUGUGGACUGAGGUGUUAAUGAUUUGAGUGGACUUUGGAUUGUUGGAUUUGUGUAACUACUUGUAGAACUUGUACACUUGAAAUAUUCUAUGCACCUUGACAAUAAAGCUGCUUCAUGUCUGUUU